rnacentral:pre_miRNA from 1 species
AUAAUACUCUCUCCGUUCCAAAUUACUCGUCGCAGAAAUAGAUGUAUCUAGAACUAAAAUACAUCUAGAUACAUCCAUUUCUGCGACGAGUAAUUCGGAACGGAGGGAGUACGUA